rnacentral:rRNA from 1 species
CAAGAUUAGCGGCGGACGGGUGAGUAACACGUGGGUAACCUGCCUGUAAGACUGGGAUAACAUUCGGAAACGAAUGCUAAUACCGGAUACGCGAUUUGGUCGCAUGACUGAAUCGGGAAAGAUGGAGCAAUCUAUCACUUACAGAUGGACCCGCGGCGCAUUAGCUAGUUGGUGAGGUAACGGCUCACCAAGGCGACGAUGCGUAGCCGACCUGAGAGGGUGAUCGGCCACACUGGGACUGAGACACGGCCCAGACUCCUACGGGAGGCAGCAGUAGGGAAUCUUCCGCAAUGGACGAAAGUCUGACGGAGCAACGCCGCGUGAGUGAUGAAGGUUUUCGGAUCGUAAAGCUCUGUUGCCAGGGAAGAAUGCUUGGGAGAGUAACUGCUCCCAAGGUGACGGUACCUGAGAAGAAAGCCCCGGCU